UACGUAGGGGGCAAGCGUUGUCCGGAAUCAUUGGGCGUAAAGAGCGCGUAGGCGGUCCGGUAAGUCCGCUGUGAAAGUCAAGGGCUCAACCCUUGAAUGCCGGUGGAUACUGUCGGGCUAGAGUCCGGAAGAGGCGAGUGGAAUUCCUGGUGUAGCGGUGAAAUGCGUAGAUAUCAAGAGGAACACCUGAGGUGAAGACGGGGUUGCUGGGCUGACACUGACGCUGAAGCGCGAAAGCAUGGGGAGCGAACAGG
rnacentral:rRNA from 1 species